rnacentral:rRNA from 2 species
GGCAAAGUUAAUAAGGGCGCACGGUGGAUGCCUUGGCAUUAAGAGCCGAAGAAGGACGUGACUAACGACGAUAUUCUAGGGGGAGCAGUAAGUACGCAUUGAUCCCUAGGUCUCCGAAUGGGGAAACCCACUAUGUUAUGCAUAGUAUCCGUAAGUGAAUACAUAGCUUACGCGAAGGUAACGCAGAGAACUGAAACAUCUAAGUACCUGCAGGAAGAGAAAGUAAAAACGAUUUCCUAAGUAGCGGCGAGCGAACGGGAAACAGGCCAAACCAAGAAGCUUGCUUCUUGGGGUUGUAGGACUGCAACGUGGACUUAAAGUCUAUAGAAGAAUUACCUGGGAAGGUAAGCCAAAGAGAGUAAUAGCCUCGUAUUUGAAAUAGACUUUAUACCUAGCAGUAUCCUGAGUAGGGCUGGACACGCGAAAUCCAGUUUGAAUCCGGGAGGACCAUCUCCCAAGCCUAAAUACUCCUUAAUGACCGAUAGUGAACCAGUACCGUGAGGGAAAGGUGAAAAGAACCCCGGGAGGGGAGUGAAAUAGCACCUGAAACCGUGUGCCUACAAGAAGUUCGAGCCCGUCAAUGGGUGAGAGCGUGCCUUUUGUAGAAUGAACCGGCGAGUUACGUUAUGAUGCGAGGUUAAGCUGAAGAGGCGGAGCCGUAGCGAAAGCGAGUCUGAAUAGGGCGCUUUAGUAUCAUGAUGUAGACCCGAAACCUAGUGACCUAUCCAUGAGCAGGUUGAAGGUGCGGUAAGACGCACUGGAGGACCGAACCAGGACACGUUGAAAAGUGUUUGGAUGACUUGUGGAUAGCGGAGAAAUUCCAAACGAACUGGGAGAUAGCUGGUUCUCUCCGAAAUAGCUUUAGGGCUAGCGUCGCAAUUUAAGUGUAUUGGAGGUAGAGCACUGUUUGGAUGAGGGGCCCAUCUCGGGUUACCAAUUUCAGAUAAACUCCGAAUGCUAAUACACAUGUGCGGCAGUCAGACUGCGAGUGCUAAGAUCCGUAGUCGAAAGGGAAACAGCCCAGACCACCAGCUAAGGUCCCAAAAUAUAUGUUAAGUGGAAAAGGAUGUGGGGUUGCACAGACAACUAGGAUGUUAGCUCAGAAGCAGCUAUCAUUCAAAGAGUGCGUAAUAGCUCACUAGUCGAGUGACCCUGCGCCGAAAAUGUACCGGGGCUAAACAUAUUACCGAAGCUGUGGAUUUAAUAUUAAUUAAAUGGUAGGAGAGCGUUGUAAUCAGCGAUGAAGGUAUACCGUGAGGGGUGCUGGAGCGAUUACAAGUGAGAAUGCCGGUAUGAGUAGCGCAAGAUAAGUGAGAAUCUUAUCCACCGUAAGACUAAGGUUUCCAGGGGAAGGCUCGUCCGCCCUGGGUUAGUCGGGACCUAAGGCGAGGCCGAAAGGCGUAGUCGAUGGACAACAGGUUGAUAUUCCUGUACUAGUAUUGUUAGUGAUGGAGGGACGCAGUAGGCUAAAGGGAGCCAGUUAAUGGAUUCUGGUCUAAGCAGUGAGGUGUGGAAUGUGUCAAAUGCAUUUUCCUUUAACAUUGAGCUGUGAUGGGGAAGCAACUACGGUUGCGAAGCCCUUGAUGUCACACUGCCAAGAAAAUCUUCUAGCGUUUAAUUUAAUACUACCCGUACCGCAAACCGACACAGGUAGUCGAGGCGAGUAGCCUCAGGUGAUCGAGAGAACUCUCGUUAAGGAACUCGGCAAAAUGACCCCGUAACUUCGGGAGAAGGGGUGCUGUAGAAAUACAGCCGCAGUGAAAAGAUCCAAGCAACUGUUUAUCAAAAACACAGCUCUCUGCUAAACCGCAAGGUGAUGUAUAGGGGGUGACGCCUGCCCGGUGCUGGAAGGUUAAGAGGAGGGGUUAGACAUUAGUCGAAGCUCUGAAUUGAAGCCCCAGUAAACGGCGGCCGUAACUAUAACGGUCCUAAGGUAGCGAAAUUCCUUGUCGGGUAAGUUCCGACCCGCACGAAAGGCGUAAUGAUUUGGAUACUGUCUCAACGAGAGACUCGGUGAAAUUUUAGUACCUGUGAAGAUGCAGGUUACCCGCGACAGGACGGAAAGACCCCAUGGAGCUUUACUGCAGAUUGAUAUUGAGUACCUGUGAAGCAUGUACAGGAUAGGUAGGAGACUUUGACCUUGGGACGCUAGUUUCAAGUGAGUCGCUGUUGGGAUACUACCCUUGCUUCAUGGUUGCUCUAACCCACACGCAUAAUCGGCGUGGGAGACAGUGUCUGUCGGGCAGUUUGACUGGGGCGGUCGCCUCCUAAAGAGUAACGGAGGCGCCCAAAGGUUCCCUCAACAUGGUUGGAAAUCAUGUGUAGAGUGUAAAGGUAUAAGGGAGCUUGACUGCGAGAGCUACAACUCGAGCAGGUAGGAAACUAGGGCUUAGUGAUCCGGUGGUACCGCAUGGAAGGGCCAUCGCUCAACGGAUAAAAGCUACCCUGGGGAUAACAGGCUUAUCUCCCCCAAGAGUUCACAUCGACGGGGAGGUUUGGCACCUCGAUGUCGGCUCGUCGCAUCCUGGGGCUGUAGUCGGUCCCAAGGGUUGGGCUGUUCGCCCAUUAAAGCGGCACGCGAGCUGGGUUCAGAACGUCGUGAGACAGUUCGGUCCCUAUCCGUCGCGGGCGUAGGAAAUUUGAGAGGAUCUGCCCUUAGUACGAGAGGACCGGGGUGGACUUACCGCUGGUGUACCAGUUGUUCCGCCAGGAGCACCGCUGGGUAGCUAUGUAGGGAAGGGAUAAGCGCUGAAAGCAUCUAAGUGCGAAGCUCACCUCAAGAUGAGAUUUCCCAUUCUUUAUGAAUUAAGAGCCCUGAGAGAUGAUCAGGUUGAUAGGCUGGAAGUGGAAGUCCUGCGAGGGAUGGAGCGGACCAGUACUAAUAGCUCGAGGACUUUACCAA